rnacentral:rRNA from 1 species
UACGUAGGGUGCGAGCGUUAAUCGGAAUUACUGGGCGUAAAGCGUGCGCAGGCGGUUCGUUAAGUUCGUUGUGAAAGCCCCCGGGCUCAACCUGGGAAUGGCAAUGGAAACUGGCGGGCUUGAGUGUGGCAGAGGGGGGUGGAAUUCCGCGUGUAGCAGUGAAAUGCGUAGAGAUGCGGAGGAACACCGAUGGCGAAGGCAGCCCCCCUGGGCCAACACUGACGCUCAGGCACGAAAGCGUGGGGAGCAAACAGG